UGAUUUUUUUUGUCUUGAUGUAAUAAAGAUGCCCUUUAUAUAUUUUUAGAUAAAAAUAUUGCGUUUAAAGUAAAGAAAAUAUGCAGACAUCGAGCCUGCUUUGCGAAUGCGUCGUCGUCAGGAUAUUUCUCUGCUUUCACAUCGAAGCAUCAAAUGUUAAAAGAGUUUAAUACACCAUGGGGACAAUUUUGGAUAUUUCAAUUGGUUGUGCGUAACGUUAUAUCGAUUAUUUCGAUUAUAAAUAUAGCUUACAGUUUAACAUUUUAACAGUUAGCUUAACAGAUUUGUUUAUUCACUGUCAAUGUGAAUUAAUCACGGGCUGAGUCUUCGUUUACUUUCAAUAUGUUUACAUGGUACGUUUUUAAUAUGACUAAAGUUAAGCGUUUAAGAAACGGGUAGAGGGAUUUUUAUCCUCGUCGUGCGAUUAAGGGCACGAGGGGAAUAUGCUUUGAAAUGAACGCAAAUAGUGUCUAAUAAGUGUUCGAGGAUCUGUUCGUCUGACAUAAAGGCCAUAAAAAACCUUUAAAUAGAUUUAUAUCUCUCAGUCACUUAACAAGUGGACACAAUCUCUGUUCGUUUCCACAGAAUUAUGUGUUUAAGUCUCGCAGGGCAGCCAUUUAGGCUACUGCGCACGCGCAUAGGUGUGCAACCUCUCGCCAGAGAAUCCCCUUACAUGUUGUUGAUGGUAACAGCUGUGUUGCGUAUAGUUAAUCUUUUUUUCUUUGAUUAUUGCGAUCUAAUCAGUGGCUUUAAAUGCUGUUCGUGCUAUCUGUGUUUCUGGAUUUACAAGUAGGACGCACGUGUUUGCUGAACAUACAUGAUACCAUAUGAUUAAAAACUGCCUCCCUAUCUUGUCAUAAAUAACAGGUAUUUGCAUGAUUUUUACCGUUUUAUAAUCUGUAUGUCGUAUUUUUGGUAUUUUGUACAAGAGUACUAAGUAUUUUGAUCAUAGCGAUUACAGUGGUGUAAGUUACCGGAUCACAGACGACCAUAGACUGUAAAAAAAAUAGAUCACGACCCACGGUUCGGCUCCCAUGCGAUUCGCAGAUUAAUAUCUAUACAAAGUUUGUCAUUUGCAUGUAUUAAAGUCUUGCAAAUGUUAACACUCAAGUGAUUUUUAAACAUUUUAACCACAAAAGUCUGUUUUUACUUUUUACAGUCUCGUUUUGUCACUCUGCAUCAUGUGGCUGAUAAGCUAUUGAAGAAGAGCUGCCCAUCACUUUAUGGACAUUCAAGUUAACAUAAGCAGUUGGUGCAUUAAGAUACCUCUCAGAGUUAUUGUGUCAUCUCAAGAAAUAAGGUGUGUCACCCUAGAGAGUGUUCCUGAGUCAGUCAAGGAGCUAUGUGUGACAUGGUGCAUCAUUCUGGGCUUGCAAGGAAACUUUCUUCUACACUUUGAGGAUCCAGACUUUGGAAAUGAGCACUGCAAUUUCACCGAUAUUAAAGAUCUACCAUCAGAUCGAGUGACACUGAAAGUUUUGUUGACAGCUUCUGUUUCGGUUUCUGACUUUGCAUUACAAUUACUACUAGUGCCUCAUCAGUGGAAUGGCCUGAUCCUUUUGUUAUUCCUGAUUUCUCUCAUGAUGUUGAACUUCAGUUGAGCGCUGCAAAUGAUGCCUAUGCCAGGGAUGGAACAGUAAUGGUCAUUUCCAAUGGUGUUAAAUACUAGACAAACUAGCUGAUGUGAAAUGUUGACUGUUUCCAAGGUCCAUCGGUUUAUUUUGUAAAAGACUUUCUGGUAACACUUUAUUAUAAUGUUCAUUAGUUAACAUUAGUUAACUGCAUUAGUUAACAUGAACUAAUGAUGAACUGCACAUGAAGUGCAGCAUUUAUUAAUCUUUAUUAAUGUUAAUUUCAACAAUUACUAAUACUUUAUUAAAAUUUGGUUAACGUUAGUUAAUGCACCGUGAAAUAACAUGAACAAACAAUGAACAGCUUUAUUUCUAUUAACUAACAUUAACAAAGAUGAAUAAAUACUGUAACAAAUGUAUUGCUCAUGGUUUGUUCAUGUUAGUUAAUACAUUAACUAAUGUUAAAUCAUGAACAUUAUAAUAAAGUGUUACCGACUUUCUUAGCGACUGGGUAUUAACAAAAAAGGUUUGGGGAUAGUUAUAUUGCAUUAAUUGUUCUUUAAAAAAAACUAACUCUAAAAUAUGUGGCUUUUAAAAUAAUAAUAA